rnacentral:lncRNA from 10 species
CGGCAACAGAUCUAUCAUCGGAAACCAUCCGAGCAAGAAGUCAGUAGGACAGUGUCUUUAAGAUCACCAGUGGUUUAACAGCUGUGGGCGGAGGAGUAUCAAGCACUCCCAUAUCCUCGGGGGAAAUGGAAGCUCAUGCUGCCUCUGCAGAGGGUGAAUGGUCAGCACAGAAGACAGCCACAGAUCAAGAAAAACUAGUUGUCAACAAGGCCCACUCACUUAGAAACAAUCUAAAUAAAACCCGGAAGAUCAGAGCAGAUUAUUUUAACAUUUAAUUUGUGUUUUACCCUUAACAAUAUGUAAAAUCCAUGAACAAAAUUUUUGUUCUAUACUUUGUGCUAUA